CGGGAAACUGGGGAUAAUACUCCAUAGAUCUACUAUGCUGGAAUGCUUGUAGGUCCAAAACUCCGGUGCCCAAGGAUUGAUCUGCGGCGUAUCAGGUUGUAGUGGGUGUAACGGACCCACUAGCCAGUGACGCGUAAGGGCCUUGAAAGAGGGAGCCCUGAGAUGGACUCUGAGACAUGAGUCCAGGCCCUCCGGGGCGAGCCAGUCGGAAAAAUUUCCAAUGGGGGAAACCCCGAUGAGGGAAUUCCAAGUGCCAGCACAUUGUGUUGGCUGUUCCCCUGUCUAAAAAACAGGAGAAGUAAGGGCCGGGUAAGACGGGUGCCAGCCGCCGCGGUAAUA
rnacentral:rRNA from 1 species